CACUUACAAGGCACAGGCAAUGUCCGAUUAUUCCCCUGCUUCAGUAUGGGGCUCCUCCUACAGAAGACAGCCUUCCAUGAGCUUCUCCAUAGGAAAACCACUGAUUGACACAUCAAAUAAGCUAAUCAAAGAAGAAAAUCUUGCCAUGUUUAAGUAGCUUGGCUGAUAUACAACUGAGGACUCUUACUUCACCUGGAGUUAGAUAAAAGCAUAUAUCAACAUACAUUCCAAAAAUCUGGUAA